AGUGCGAUCGGUGGAUGCCUUGGCACCAAGAGCCGAUGAAGGACGUUGUGACCUGCGAUAAGCCCUGGGGAGUUGGUGAGCGAGCUGUGAUCCGGGGGUGUCCGAAUGGGGAAACCUGGAAUGUCCGGAGUAGUGUCCGGUGGCCCUGCCCUGAAUGUAUAGGGGUGUGGGUGGUAACGCGGGGAAGUGAAACAUCUUAGUACCCGUAGGAAGAGAAAACAAGUGUGAUUCCGUGAGUAGUGGCGAGCGAAAGCGGAGGAGGCUAAACCGUGUGUGUGUUCAAGCCGGCAGGUGUUGCAUGUGCGGGGUUGUGGGGGCCUUGUGGUUCUGCUGCCGCAGGAUUGGCCAGUGAGAAAUGUUGCGUGAAGGUGAAGCGUCUGGGAAGGCGUACCGGAGUGGGUGAGAGUCCUGUAACUGUAAGCGUGGCACUGGUGUGGGGUUGCCCCGAGUAGCGUGGGACUCGUGGAAUUUCGCGUGAAUCUGGCGGGACCACCCGUCAAGCCUAAAUACUCCUUGGUGACCGAUAGUGGAUGAGUACCGUGAGGGAAGGGUGAAAAGUACCCCGGGAGGGGAGUGAAAGAGUUCCUGAAACCGGUCGCAUGCAAGCCGUCAGAGCCUGUGUGGUGAUGGCGUGCCUUUUGAAGAAUGAGCCUGCGAGUUAGUGAUGCGUGGCGAGGUUAACCCGUGGUGGGGGAGUCGUAGCGAAAGCGAGUCCGAUAAGGGCGUGAGUCGCGUGUUCUAGACCCGAAGCGGUGUGAUCUAUCCAUGGCCAGGAUGAAGCGUCGGUAAGACGUCGUGGAGGUCCGAACCCACUUCAGUUGAAAAUGGAGGGGAUGAGUUGUGGAUAGGGGUGAAAGGCCAAUCAAACACCGUGAUAGCUGGUUCUCCCCGAAAUGCAUUUAGGUGCAGCGUUGCGUGGUUCUUGUUGGAGGUAGAGCACUGGAUGGUCUAGGGGGCUUAUCGGCUUACCGAAAUCAGCCAAACUCCGAAUGCUGGCAAGUGUAGCGUGGCAGUGAGACGGCGGGGGAUAAGCUUCGUCGUCGAGAGGGAAACAGCCCAGAUCAUCAGCUAAGGCCCCUAAGUGGUGACUCAGUGGGAAAGGAUGUGGAGUUGCGUAGACAACCAGGAGGUUGGCUUGGAAGCAGCCAUCCUUGAAAGAGUGCGUAAUAGCUCACUGGUCAAGUGAUUCCGCGCCGAUAAUGUAGCGGGGCUUAAGUUAUCCGCCGAAGCUGUGGCAACCUGUGUGGUUGGGUAGGGGAGCGUCGUGUCAGUGGUGAAGCUGCCGGGUGACUGUGUGGUGGAGUUGAUGCGAGUGAGAAUGCAGGCAUGAGUAGCGUGUGACGGGUGGGAAUCCCGUCCGCCGAUUAUCCAAGGGUUCCAGGGUCAAGUUUGUCUGCCCUGGGUGAGUCGGGUCCUAAGGCGAGGCCGACAGGCGUAGUCGAUGGGUAACCAGUUGAUAUUCUGGUACCGGCUUGUCACCGUCCGUGUCGAGGUGUGUGAUGCUAAGCAUGUGAGCUUGUCUUGGGAGUGUUUUUUGAUGCUUCUGGGGUGGGUGAGUGUGUGAACCGAUCAUGUAGUAGGCAAGCUGCGGAGGGACGCAGUGAGGUAGCUCAUCCCCGGUGAUGGUUGUCCGGGGCUAAGUGUGUGGACUGUCUGGUAGGUAAAUCCGCUGGGCGUGAAGGUUGAGGCAUGAUGGGGAGCCCAUGGUUGUGGGUGAGUGAGUGAUCCCGUACUGUCGAGAAAAGCUUCGUGAGCGAGGUGGCGGGUCCGCCCGUACCCUAAACCGACACUGGUGGAUAGGUAGAGUAUACCGAGGCGAUCGAGUGAAUCGUGGUGAAGGAACUCGGCAAAAUGCCCCCGUAACUUUGGGAUAAGGGGGACCUGAGCUGUCGUGCACCCGUGCGGUGUGGUGGCGGUGAGGGGCGCAGAGUCCAGGGGGAAACGACUGUUUAACCAAAAACACAGGUCCGUGCGAAGUCGUAAGACGAUGUAUACGGACUGACUCCUGCCCGGUGCUGGAAGGUUAAGGGGAACUGUGAGUGUAUGCGUAGCGGUGAACUUAAGCCCCAGUAAACGGCGGUGGUAACUAUAACCAUCCUAAGGUAGCGAAAUUCCUUGUCGGGUAAGUUCCGACCUGCACGAAUGGAGUAACGAUUUCCCUACUGUCUCCACCAUGAACUCGGUGAAAUUGCAUUACGAGUAAAGAUGCUCGUUACGCGCAGCAGGACGGAAAGACCCCGGGACCUUUACUAUAGUUUGGUAUUGGUGAUUGGGACGGUUUGUGUAGGAUAGGUGGGAGACGUUGAUGCGGCCACGCUAGUGGUGGUGGAGUCGUU
rnacentral:rRNA from 1 species